rnacentral:rRNA from 1 species
AGUGAACGCUGGCGGUAGGCCUAACACAUGCAAGUCGAACGGCAGCACAGUAAGAGCUUGCUCUUACGGGUGGCGAGUGGCGGACGGGUGAGGAAUACAUCGGAAUCUACUUUUUCGUGGGGGAUAACGUAGGGAAACUUACGCUAAUACCGCAUACGACCUCCGGGUGAAAGCAGGGGAUCUUCGGACCUUGCGCGAUUGAAUGAGCCGAUGUCGGAUUAGCUAGUUGGCGGGGUAAGGGCCCACCAAGGCGACGAUCCGUAGCUGGUCUGAGAGGAUGAUCAGCCACACUGGAACUGAGACACGGUCCAGACUCCUACGGGAGGCAGCAGUGGGGAAUAUUGGACAAUGGGCGCAAGCCUGAUCCAGCCAUACCGCGUGGGUGAAGAAGGCCUUCGGGUUGUAAAGCCCUUUUGUUGGGAAAGAAAAGCAGCAGGUUAAUACCCCGCUGUUCUGACGGUACCCAAAGAAUAAGCACCGGCUAACUUCGUG